CCACUCAGCCUCGAUUCACUCUGGCUUCACCGGUCUCCUCGGUGCCCAUCAGUCUUAUUUCGGCACCUGCCAUUUCUUCUACCUGGAAUGCUGCUCUCCCAGAUGUCCAUGCUACUGGCUGCCCCACCUCUGCUAAAAAUACACACCAAGGAUCUUGGCUCCUUCAGUCCUGUCUCCCCAGCCACCAGAAUGGCACCUCUCACAUUAUGACGAGCAAAUUCUGGACCUGAAGGAAGUCACAAUUUGGAAGAUUUAAUCACCCACACCCUUCAUCCCUGGCCCCGUGGCAGGUGGUGUGUUGAAGGCAGACUCCAUCCUGGCACUGGGUGACAGUUGUGGGGUGUACAGGGCUCACCACCCCACAAAUAGUUCCAGGACCCAGCUUCUGCUGCAAGACCUGCUUCCUCUGCCUCUGGGUCCUGGGACCUCCCACUUCUCCCCCACCUCCUCCUUUUUGCUUUCCUGCUCCGUGCCCCCCCUCCCCCCGUCCAAGCUGCUCUUGCUUGCUCUCUAGUGGCCAUGUUUGCAAGUCCAUCUCAGGCGUUCCCACUUAAACUCCUCCAACGAGAGCCAGCGGGGUCAGCCAGGAUAUCGUCCAAAGAGAUGUCAAGAAAGAGACUGUGGACUGAUGAGAUGACUCGGGGUGUCUGUCUGUCUGUCUGUCUGUCUGUCUGUCUCUGUCUCUCUGUCUCUCUCUCCCUCUCCCUCCCUC